GGGCGGAUGGUUUAGUGGUAUAAUUUUCCCUUAGCAUCGUCGGUCCCGAGAUAUGCCUCGGUUCCAACUGGCCUGGGAAAGGUCCGGGGUUCGAUUCCCCGUUCGUCCA